GCUUGCUCCUGGAUUCAGCGGCGGACGGGUGAGUAAUGCCUAGGAAUCUGCCUGGUAGUGGGGGAUAACGUCCGGAAACGGGCGCUAAUACCGCAUACGUCCUGAGGGAGAAAGUGGGGGAUCUUCGGACCUCACGCUAUCAGAUGAGCCUAGGUCGGAUUAGCUAGUUGGUGGGGUAAAGGCCUACCAAGGCGACGAUCCGUAACUGGUCUGAGAGGAUGAUCAGUCACACUGGAACUGAGACACGGUCCAGACUCCUACGGGAGGCAGCAGUGGGGAAUAUUGGACAAUGGGCGAAAGCCUGAUCCAGCCAUGCCGCGUGUGUGAAGAAGGUCUUCGGAUUGUAAAGCACUUUAAGUUGGGAGGAAGGGCAGUAAGUUAAUACCUUGCUGUUUUGACGUUACCAACAGAAUAAGCACCGGCUAACUUCGUGCCAGCAGCCGCGGUAAUACGAAGGGUGCAAGCGUUAAUCGGAAUUACUGGGCGUAAAGCGCGCGUAGGUGGUUCAGCAAGUUGGAUGUGAAAUCCCCGGGCUCAACCUGGGAACUGCAUCCAAAACUACUGAGCUAGAGUACGGUAGAGGGUGGUGGAAUUUCCUGUGUAGCGGUGAAAUGCGUAGAUAUAGGAAGGAACACCAGUGGCGAAGGCGACCACCUGGACUGAUACUGACACUGAGGUGCGAAAGCGUGGGGAGCAAAC
rnacentral:rRNA from 1 species